rnacentral:tRNA from 4 species
GGGCGAAUAACUCAGUUGGUAGAGUGCAACCCUUACAAGGUUGAAGUCACAGGUUCGAGCCCUGUUUCGCCCACCA